rnacentral:rRNA from 1 species
AGAGUUUGAUCCUGGCUCAGAGUGAACGCUGGCGGCGUGCUUAACACAUGCAAGUCGAACGAGAACGGUCCUUCGGGAUGUCAGCUAAGUGGCGGACGGGUGAGUAAUGUAUAGUUAAUCUGCCCUUUAGAGGGGGAUAACAGUUGGAAACGACUGCUAAUACCCCAUACUCCUUCUAUAUUAAUUAUAGUUGGGAAACGUUUUUUCGCCAAAGGAUGAGACUAUAUGGUAUCAGGUAGUUGGUGGGGUAAGAGCCUACCAAGCCUAUGACGCCUAGCUGGUCUGAGAGGAUGAUCAGCCACACUGGAACUGAGACACGGUCCAGACUCCUACGGGAGGCAGCAGUGGGGAAUAUUGCACAAUGGAGGAAACUCUGAUGCAGCAACGCCGCGUGGAGGAUGACACAUUUCGGUGCGUAAACUCCUUUUAUAUGGGAAGAUAAUGACGGUACCAUAUGAAUAAGCACCGGCUAACUCCGUGCCAGCAGCCGCGGUAAUACGGAGGGUGCGAGCGUUAAUCGGAAUUACUGGGCGUAAAGCGCGCGUAGGCGGCCUGAUCAGUCGGAUGUGAAAGCCCUGGGCUUAACCUGGGAAUUGCAUUCGAUACUGUCAGGCUAGAGUAUGGGAGAGGGAAGUGGAAUUUCCGGUGUAGCGGUGAAAUGCGUAGAUAUCGGAAGGAACACCAGUGGCGAAGGCGACUUCCUGGCCCAAUACUGACGCUGAGGUGCGAAAGCGUGGGUAGCGAACAGGAUUAGAUACCCUGGUAGUCCACGCCGUAAACGAUGAGAACUAGAUGUCGGGAGGAUUUACCUUUCGGUGUCGCAGCUAACGCGUUAAGUUCUCCGCCUGGGGAGUACGCCGGCAACGGUAAAACUCAAAGGAAUUGACGGGGACCCGCACAAGCGGUGGAGCAUGUGGUUUAAUUCGAUGCAACGCGAAGAACCUUACCUGCCCUUGACAUACUCGGAACUUUCCAGAGAUGGAUUGGUGCCCUUCGGGAGCUUUUAUACAGGUGCUGCACGGCUGUCGUCAGCUCGUGUCGUGAGCUGUUGGGUUAAGUCCCGCAACGAGCGCAACCCUCGUCACUAGUUACUAACGGUUCGGCCGAGGACUCUAGUAGGACUGCCUUCGCAAGAAGGAGGAAGGUGAGGACGACGUCAAGUCAUCAUGGCCCUUACGGCUAGGGCAACACACGUGCUACAAUGGGCAGGACAAUGAGAAGCAAUACCGCGAGGUGGAGCAAAUCUAUAAACCUGGUCUCAGUUCGGAUUGUAGUCUGCAACUCGACUACAUGAAGCUGGAAUCACUAGUAAUCGUAGAUCAGCUAUGCUACGGUGAAUACGUUCCCGGGUCUUGUACUCACCGCCCGUCACACCAUGGGAGUUGAUUUCACCCGAAGCGGGGAAGCUAAACUGGCUACCCUCCACGGUGGAAUCAGCGACUGGGGUGAAGUCGUAACAAGGUAACC